AUUGAACGCUGGCGGCAGGCAUAACACAUGCAAGUCGAACGAGUGGCGGACGGGUGAGUAAUGUCUGGGAAACUGCCUGAUGGAGGGGGAUAACUACUGGAAACGGUAGCUAAUACCGCAUACCAUCAGAUGUGCCCAGAUGGGAUUAGCUAGGAGGUGGGGUAAUGGCUCACCUAGGCGACGAUCCCUAGCUGGUCUUAGAGGAUGACCAGCCACGCUGGAACGGAUACCCGGGCCAGACUCCUACGGGAGGCAGCAGUGGGGAAUAUUGCACAUUGGGCGCAAGCCUGAUGCAGCCAUGCCGCGUGUGUGAAGAAGGCCUUCGGUUUGUAAAGCACUUUCAUCGGGGAGGCGUUACCCGCACAAGAAUCACCGGCUAACUCCGUGCCAGCAGCCGCGGUAAUAC
rnacentral:rRNA from 1 species